rnacentral:lncRNA from 1 species
GAGGCCAUCAGUGCCUUGAAAGGGAAGAUCGUAGCCCACAGCCGCGAAGGUGAAUGGCAGAAUCAGUGUAUCCGAAACGACAAGGAGCUGGUCCACGUGCAGCUUCGAAAACUUAAGAUCCAGAGGACCCAGGCCCGGACCGAAUCUCAGGAGAACUUAGUCAAACUCACCCUGGAAAGUAACGCCACCCUCAAGGCCCUGAAAAAGGUUGUGGAGAAGUCAUUGGGAUUUUCGGCUUCCUGAGUACCCCCUCUCUGCUUCGCAGAGGGCCUUUUUCUCCGUGUCUGCUGCACGUUUGUGGUUUCCUCAAUAAACACCGUCUGUCAUCUCCUU